UUCCGGUUGAUCCUGCCGGAGGCCAUUGCUAUCGGAGUCCGAUUUAGCCAUGCUAGUCGCACGGGUUCAGACCCGUGGCGAAUAGCUCCGUAACACGUGGCCAAUCUACCCUACGGACCGGCAUAACCUCGGGAAACUGAGGCUAAUUCCGAAUACGGCUCCCACGCUGGAACGCGGGGAGCCGGAAACGUUCCGACGCCGUAGGAUGAGGCUGCGGCCGAUUAGGUAGACGGUGGGGUAACGGCCCACCGUGCCGAUAAUCGGUACGGGUUGUGAGAGCAAGAGCCCGGAGACGGAAUCUGAGACAAGAUUCCGGGCCCUACGGGGCGCAGCAGGCGCGAAACCUUUACACUGCACGCCAGUGCGAUAGGGGGACUCCGAGUGCGGAGGCAUAGUGCCUUCGCUUUUCUGCACCGUAAGGUGGUGCAUGAAUAAGAGCUGGGCAAGACCGGUGCCAGCCGCCACGGUAAUACCGGCAGCUCGAGUGAUGGCCGAUUUUAUUGGGCCUAAAGCGUCCGUAGCCGGCCACACAAGUCCAUCGGGAAAUCCGCCAGCCCAACUGGCGGGCGUCCGGUGGAAACUGUGUGGCUUGGGACCGGAAGACCCAACAGGUACGUCUUGGGUAGGAGUGAAAUCCCGUAAUCCUGGACGGACCACCGAUAGCGAAAGCAUGUUGGGAAGACGGAUCCGACGGUGAGGGACGAAAGCCAGGGUCUCGAACCGGAUUAGAUACCCGGGUAGUCCUGGCCGUAAACGAUGUCUGCUAGGUGUGGCUCCCACUACGAGUGGGUGCUGUGCCGUAGGGAAGCCGCUAAGCAGACCGCCUGGGAAGUACGUCCGCAAGGAUGAAACUUAAAGGAAUUGG
rnacentral:rRNA from 1 species